CCUACGGGUGGCUGCAGUCGGGAAUUUUGCGCAAUGGGCGAAAGCCUGACGCAGCAACGCCGCGUGAGGGAUGAAGGCCUUCGGGUUGUAAACCUCUUUUCUCAGGGACGAUGAUGACGGUACCUGAGGAAUAAGUCACGGCUAACUACGUGCCAGCAGCCGCGGUACUACGUAGGUGGCAAGCGUUGUCCGGAUUUACUGGGCGUAAAGAGCGCGCAGGCGGUCGUUCAAGUCGAGUGUGAAAGCCCCCGGCUCAACUGGGGAGGGUCACUCGAUACUGAUCGACUUGAAGGCGGGAGAGGGAAGCGGAAUUCCCGGUGUAGUGGUGAAAUGCGUAGAUAUCGGGAGGAACACCAGUGGCGAAGGCGGCUUUCUGGCCCGUUCUUGACGCUGAGGCGCGAAAGCUAGGGUAGCAAACGGGAUUAGAUACCCUGGUAGUC
rnacentral:rRNA from 1 species